GGACGGGUGGCCGAGUGGCUUAAGGCGCACGCCUGGAGAGCGUGUGGGCGCGCUAGCGCCUCGUGGGUUCAAAUCCCACCCCGUCCG
rnacentral:tRNA from 1 species